UACGUAGGGGGCAAGCGUUGUCCGGAUUUAUUGGGCGUAAAGAGCGUGUAGGCGGUUUGGUAGGUCCGUUGUGAAAACUCGAGGCUCAACCUCGAGACGCCGGCGGAAACCAUCAGGCUAGAGUCCGGAAGAGGAGAGUGGAAUUCCUGGUGUAGCGGUGAAAUGCGCAGAUAUCGGGAAGAACACCCGUGGCGAAGGCGGCUCUCUGGGACGGUACUGACGCUGAGACGCGAAAGCGUGGGGAGCAACAGG
rnacentral:rRNA from 1 species